UACGUAGGGCGCAAGCGUUGUCCGGAAUUAUUGGGCGUAAAGAGCUCGUAGGCGGUCUGUCGCGUCUGUUGUGAAAACUCGAGGCUCAACCUCGGGCUUGCAGUGGAUACGGGCGGACUAGAGUGCGGUAGGGGAGACUGGAAUUCCUGGUGUAGCGGUGGAAUGCGCAGAUAUCAGGAGGAACACCGAUGGCGAAGGCAGGUCUCUGGGCCGCAACUGACGCUGAGGAGCGAAAGCAUGGGGAGCGAACAGG
rnacentral:rRNA from 1 species